rnacentral:snRNA from 1 species
AUACUUACCUGGAAGGGGAGAUACCAUGAUCACAAAAGUGGUUUUCCCAGGGUGAGGCUUAUCCAUUGCAUUCCGGAUGUGCUGACCCCUGCAAUUUCCCCAAACGUGGGGAAACUCGACCUCAGAAUUUGUGGUAGUGGAUGAGUGCAAUUGCACUUUCCCC